rnacentral:rRNA from 1 species
GGGGUGACUGCGUACCUUUUGUAUAAUGGGUCAGCGACUUAUAUUCUGUAGCAAGGUUAACCGAAUAGGGGAGCCGGAGGGAAACCGAGUCUUAACCGGGCGUUAAGUUGCAGGGUAUAGACCCGAAACCCGGUGAUCUAGCCAUGGGCAGGUUGAAGGUUGGGUAACACUAACUGGAGGACCGAACCGACUAAUGUUGAAAAAUUAGCGGAUGACCUGUGGCUGGGGGUGAAAGGCCAAUCAAACCGGGAGAUAGCUGGUUCUCCCCGAAAGCUAUUUAGGUAGCGCCUCGUGAAUUCAUCUCCGGGGGUAGAGCACUGUUUCGGCUAGGGGGCCAUCCCGGCUUACCAACCCGAUGCAAACUGCGAAUACCGGAGAAUGUUAUCACGGGAGACACACGGCGGGUGCUAACGUCCGUCGUGAAGAGGGAAACAACCCAGACCGCCAGCUAAGGUCCCAAAGUCAUGGUUAAGUGGGAAACGAUGUGGGAAGGCCCAGACAGCCAGGAUGUUGGCUUAGAAGCAGCCAUCAUUUAAAGAAAGCGUAAUAGCUCACUGGUCGAGUCGGCCUGCGCGGAAGAUGUAACGGGGCUAAACCAUGCACCGAAGCUGCGGCAGCGACACUCAGGUGUUGUUGGGUAGGGGAGCGUUCUGUAAGCCUGCGAAGGUGGCCUGUGAGGGUUGCUGGAGGUAUCAGAAGUGCGAAUGCUGACAUAAGUAACGAUAAAGCGGGUGAAAAGCCCGCUCGCCGGAAGACCAAGGGUUCCUGUCCAACGUUAAUCGGGGCAGGGUGAGUCGACCCCUAAGGCGAGGCCGAAAGGCGUAGUCGAUGGGAAACGGGUUAAUAUUCCCGUACUUGGUGUUACUGCGAAGGGGGGACGGAGAAGGCUAUGUUGGCCGGGCGACGGUUGUCCCGGUUUAAGCGUGUAGGUGUGUGUUCCAGGUAAAUCCGGUUCACUUUAACACUGAGGCGUGACGACGAGGCACUACGGUGCUGAAGCAACAAAUGCCCUGCUUCCAGGAAAAGCCUCUAAGCAUCAGGUAACAUCAAAUCGUACCCCAAACCGACACAGGUGGUCAGGUAGAGAAUACCAAGGCGCUUGAGAGAACUCGGGUGAAGGAACUAGGCAAAAUGGUGCCGUAACU